GUCCAUGUAGCGCUAAGGAUAGCGCGUUGAACCUUUAAUUCAAAGGUCAUGGUUUCGAAUCCCAUCUGGGAUG